UCCCUGGUGGCCCAGUGGCUAAGACUCUGCACUCCCAAUGCAGGGGAGGCUGGGUUCAAUCCCUGGUCAGGGAA
rnacentral:tRNA from 1 species